AUGAGUGGAGGAAACCGAGUUGGGCUUAAGCUGGAUCGGGUUUUUGAGUUGUCUUUAAGCUUUUGGGAUGGAGGAAGUAUUGAGAUUUUACAGCAGAGUUUUGAGAGAGGAUCGAUGGUGUUUUUUUUGCUGCUGUUUUCUUUCUCUCCUUCUACUGUUCUUGUGGCUCCAUUAUAUAGAUUUGUAACAGGGUUUGGACUGAUUUGCUGUACUGGUUUUUUGUUGUGUUUUGUGGACAGCAAAUUUGUAUCUAUUUUGUAUAGCAGCAAACAUGGUAAUUUGGAAAGGGAUUUGGAGACGGUGGUGCUCUUAACGUGUGAGAAUGGCAAAGAUAAAGUGGUCCAUGCAAAUUGCUUUUUUUCUUUUUCUAUUAUGACAACAAGACAAAGAUGA